UCGAGUUGUUUUCUACUCUGAGGAUGUUAAUGUGACCGCCUCCGUUCACCCUCCUGCAGUAAUUCCAUAGACGACCGAGAAGAAAAAUUGGGAUUAAGGAGUCAGGGGUCAGGACUGCAGCGUGUUUGCACGGCGGGAGGAGCCCUGUGCUGGGGCUGGGAAGGGACUCAGGCGUGGCACCACCGCCACCCCGCCAUCGCCGGCCUCAUUACUGGAAGCAGGAAAUGAGUAAAACACAAAUGGCUGGGGAGGAGACAGGAGGGGCCGCCCCGCUGCCGGCCAUGGGGGCUGCUGGGAGCUGCCGCGCCUUGGUGCAGAUGUCGCAGACCUCAAAUGUCUGCCGGAAAUUACAGCUCAUGUCGGGCGGGGAGACGUGCGCUUCCCCGGCUGGGGAGCCCAGCGGGAGCCCCCCUACGCCGGGCCGCCCUCCCCGCGCUGGGGCCGGCAACUGCGGCCCUCGCCAAACCCAGCUCGUAAAUUAGCUCGACUGGAGAAAAAUGCACGUAGGAAAAUGUCUCGGAGCAGGAAAAGGGAAAAAAAUGAAGGAAAGAAAAAACCUCACAAAAUAAAAAAUAAAUAAAAAAAAUAAAGCAAAAGCAAAAAAA